UUGUACUUUGUAAACCCGCCUGGGCUUUAAAUUAGUAGCCCAAUUUGGCAGAAAAACCGCCAACCUGGGAACCCUGAGGGAAACCCAAGGGGGUGAUGGGAAGAAGGUCAGGCAGCAGGGGAAGUGAGCCCCAUGUCAGAGGGGAAUCCAAGAUGGCGUCCAGUCAGGUGAGGUAAAUACCAUGCUUCUGCUACAUUGUUUCAGGAGUCAGAACCAGACAACAGAAAGGAUUAAACAAUCUCUAGAAAAUGUUGGAUACUGGGUUAAAGUGAUUACAUGCUGCUCUUGCUGUUUAAUAUCAUGGAAAUCUGUGUCUGUAAUGCGGGCAAACAUCUGCACCACAUGUGGAGUCGCUGGGCCAAGAAAUGUACCUUUUGAAGUCAUCACCAAAAGCAGAAAGAUCAGCGCAUUGAGGGAGGUGUAAGCCCAGCCUGUCAUCCUUUAGCUCUCAUCUGUCCAUUAGAGAAUUAUCUGGAAAGGAAAUGUAUAUUAUAUUUAUUAUAUUUAUGCACAUAAUGUAACUGUAUAAUAUAUAUUGUACAUGUAUAUUAUUUAUUAUUAUUAUUACAAGUGGUGGAACUGGUGUAUAGAGUGCAGGGAAGGUUAAGGUGGCUGUAUUAUCUGUAUUAUCUCACGGCCGUGACCAUCACGUUUCACACAACAAACGACCUGUCAAUUUAUACAUCUUUCCUUUGGGGAAUCUGAGCGUCAGCGGCAGGAACAAUGGACGUCAAUGAGAACUUUAUGAGCUUUAAAUGAGGACAUAAAGGGAAGCUGAACUAUUGGAAAAGGGAGUUUUAUUACUGUCACAUUGGCAGGUUCAUUGCUCUCAUAAACUAUAGUGUCAGUGCAA